GUCGGGAUGUGAUCGCGCUCCUGCCUGCCGUCGAUGAUCACAUGGAGCCGCGGGAUUACCAGACGCCGCCGCCAACUCCACGACACGCAGUCCUCGCUCCCCAGCCGACGGACCAGGAGAGGAGGUGCCAGGAGUAGAGCAGAGGACAGAGGAAGCAGCAGGAGUAACCAGGAGGCACCAGGACGAGAGAGGAGGCACCAGGAGUAACCAGGGGGCACCAGGAGGAGAGAGACCCCGGUGAUGGAGGUGAGCGGUGGGCCGGCGUCUGAACUCCACCCCACAGGAACCGCCCUCCCCGCCGAGGCCCUCCGGCCCGGUCCCCAGGCCCCGGCAAACCACGAUGGAGCGGACCCCCCCGCCCACACC